UGCCAGCAGCCGCGGUAAUACGGAGGGUGCGAGCGUUAAUCGGAAUUACUGGGCGUAAAGGGUCCGUAGGCGGUGGGGCAUGUCGGUUGUGAAAUCUCCCGGCUUAACUGGGAGGGUGCGACCGAAACUGCUCCGCUGGAGGGCCGGAGAGGCGAGUGGAAUUGCUGGUGUAGCGGUGAAAUGCGUAGAGAUCAGCAGGAACACCGGAGGCGAAGGCGGCUCGCUGGACGGCACCUGACGCUGAGGGACGAAAGCUAGGGGAGCAAACAGGAUUAGAUA
rnacentral:rRNA from 1 species